GGGGGAUUAGCUCAGCUGGUUAGAGCGCUUGCUCGACACGCAAGAGGUCGCUGGUUCGACUCCAGCAUCUCCCACCA
rnacentral:tRNA from 1 species